rnacentral:rRNA from 1 species
GAUGAACGCUGGCGGCGUGCUUAACACAUGCAAGUCGAACGAAGCAUUUAGGACAGAUUACUUCGGUUUGAAGUUCUUUAUGACUGAGUGGCGGACGGGUGAGUAACGCGUGGGUAACCUGCCUUGUACUGGGGGAUAGCAGCUGGAAACGGCUGGUAAUACCGCAUAGGCGCACAAUGUUGCAUGACAUGGUGUGAAAAACUCCGGUGGUAUAAGAUGGACCCGCGUCUGAUUAGCUAGUUGGUGAGAUAACAGCCCACCAAGGCGACGAUCAGUAGCCGACCUGAGAGGGUGACCGGCCACAUUGGGACUGAGACACGGCCCAGACUCCUACGGGAGGCAGCAGUGGGGAAUAUUGCACAAUGGAGGAAACUCUGAUGCAGCGACGCCGCGUGAGUGAAGAAGUAAUUCGUUAUGUAAAGCUCUAUCAGCAGGGAAGAUAGUGACGGUACCUGACUAAGAAGCUCCGGCUAAAUACGUG